CAUUCUGUCACGGGGGAGACGCGCCGAUCAACAUGCGAGUGUCACGUGUAACCAGAAAUGCAUCCCCACGUUUCACCACGGCAACAGUGAGCUGUUCUGGAUGGAAUCUGAAACUCUACGCCGUACGUUCGCUCUGGGAUCGUCUAGACUCGCUUGUGAACUUUCAGUGACUUCAUUCACACAGUAAUAAGUUGGCACAAAUUCAUCUACAAAACGAUCAGUAGCAAAAAACCCUCCUUACCUUCGCUGACUCAAUAAUUCCAACAUUUUGUUCUAAUAAAUUCAUCACUAUGACGGUUCA